rnacentral:lncRNA from 1 species
AGGACACAGUGGAAGGCAGGAGUUUUACAGAAGUGAUUAAUGUGAUUUUAAAAGUCCUUAUGUAGUGGGUGAGGGUGGGCUUCUGUGAAGAAGGCCGUGCCAGAGCAAUACAAUGAAACAGAAGCAUCUCCCAGGCCCUUUGUUUCCACUGUGGGGCUUUAGUAUGUGCACAAGGAGCCUUUAGUGUAUGCACAAGGAGCCUUUAGUGUAUGCACAAGGAGCCUUUAGUGUACACACAAGGAACCUUUAAUGUAUGCACAAGGAGCCUUUAGUGUACACACAAGAAACCUUUAGGGUAUGCACAAGGAGCCUUUAGUGUAUACACAGGAGCCUUUAGAGUAUGCACAAGGAGCCUUUAGUGUAUGCACAAGGAGCCUUUAGUGUAUACACAAGGAACCUUUAGUGUAUGCACAAGAAGCCUUCCUUUAGUGUACACACAAGAAAUCUUUAGAGUAUGCACAAGGAGCCUUCCUUUAGUGUAUGCACAAGGAACCUUUAGUGUAUACACAAGGAGCCUUUAGUGUACACACAAGAAACCUUUAGUGUAUGCACAAGGAGCCUUUAGUGUAUGCACAAGGAGCCUUUAGUGUAUGCACAAGGAGCCUUUAGUGUAUACACAAGGAGCCUUUAGUGUAUACACAAGGAACCUUUAGUGUAUGCACAAGGAACCUUUAGUGUAUACACAAGGAACCUUUAGUGUAUGCACAAGGAACCUUUAGUGUAUACACAAGGAACCUUUAGUGUAUGCACAAGGAGUCUUUAGUGUAUGCACGGCAUCACAUUCAUUAUUCACUAUCAAAAAAGGUAAACCCCUAAACCAGGCCUGGCACACAUCUGUAAUUGUGGCACUUGGGAGGUGGGGGCUGGGAGAUCAGAGGAGUUUGAGGGUAUCUUGGGCUAUGUAAAACCCUGCCUAAAAAAAAACAAAAAACAAAAACCAAAACAGGCUGGAGAGAUGGCUCACAGGUUAAGAGCACUGACUACUCUUCCAGAAGUCCUGAGUUCAAUUCCCAGCAAUCACAUUGUGGCUCACAGCCAUCCUUAAUGGGAUCUGAUGCCAUCUUCUGGUGUGUCUGAAGACUCACAUAUAAAAUAAAUUAAAAAAAAAAACACCU